CUAUAUCGUAAACUCCUGUGAGAGCAGACGAAAGACAGAUUAUUAAUUUGGAUGACUGUAUGCUCAGAGGAAGCCCCGGCUAACUACGUGCCAGCAGCCGCGGUAAUACGUAGGGGGCAAGCGUUGUCCGGAUUCACUGGGUGUAAAGGGCGCGUAGGCGGUAUAGCAAGUCAGUGGUGAAAUCUUGCAGCUCAACUGCAAAACUGCCAUUGAUACUGCUGUACUUGAGUGUGGAAGAGAGAGGCGGAAUUCCAGGUGUAGUGGUGAAAUACGUAGAUAUCUGGAAGAACACCAAUUGCGAAGGCUGCUUCUUGGUCCAUAACUGACGCUGAGGCGCGAAAGCGUGGGGAGCAAACAGGAUUAGAUACCCUGGUAGUCCACGCUGUAAACGAUGAGUGCUAGAUGCCGGAUUUUUCGGUGUCGCAGCUAACGCAUUAAGCACUCCACCUGGGAAGUACGAUCGCAAGGUUGAAACUCAAAGGAAUUGACCGGGGC
rnacentral:rRNA from 1 species